rnacentral:rRNA from 1 species
GAUGAACGCUAGCUACAGGCUUAACACAUGCAAGUCGAGCGGGGUGAUGGUGCUUGCACCAUCACUUAGCGGCGGACGGGUGAGUAAUGCUUAGGAAUCUGCCUAUUAGUGGGGGACAACAUCUCGAAAGGGAUGCUAAUACCGCAUACGUCCUACGGGGGAAAGCAGGGGAUCACUUGUGACCUUGCGCUAAUAGAUGAGCCUAAGUCGGAUUAGCUAGUUGGUGGGGUAAAGGCCUACCAAGGCGACGAUCUGUAGCGGGUCUGAGAGGAUGAUCCGCCACAAUGGAACUGAGACACGGCCCAGACUCCUACGGGAGGCAGCAGUGGGGAAUAUUGGACAAUGGGGGGAACCCUGAUCCAGCCAUGCCGCGUGUGUGAAGAAGGCCUUAUGGUUGUAAAGCACUUUAAGCGAGGAGGAGGCUCUUUUGGUUAAUACCCAGAAUGAGUGGACGUUACUCGCAGAAUAAGCACCGGCUAACUCUGUGCCAGCCGCCGCGGUAA